AAGGUCGGCGCGGCUGCGUCCAGGUCGGCGCGUGCGUACUGCAUACUCGCCGCUUUGCGCUGUGAGCCGCCCUGAGAGCUUCAGAUGAAGGGCGGUAUACACAUUUAAUGAAAGAAUAAUAAUAAAAAUAGCGACCUGCCCCCAUCCUUUAGCUGUUGUUGUUUUUUCCCUUUUAGAAUACUAACAAUGCAAUACUAUAUGAGUCUCCUCAAAAUUGUCAAGCAGCAACCACCCAAACUGCAUCCUCUGUACCAAAAGCCAUCUAAGGAAGCCCAGCAGAUGGUCUAGCUGCUGUGAAACAAAGAGUUGCUUUCAUUCUUAAAUUUGUUUCCUCAGCUCUUUUCAUUUGGUAACUCUGUAAUAGAACAUUUGACCUUUACAAAGAUCAAAAUGUAAAUAAUGUUCUUUUCAUGUUGUUCUUUAGCAACCAUUUAAAAAGUCAAAUAACAUUAAAGUCCUUUUUUACUUUUAAAA